rnacentral:piRNA from 1 species
UAGUGACUCAAAGACAUCUGUGCUGCCAG